rnacentral:lncRNA from 10 species
AAAUAAACCUCUGGAGAGCCAGUUGCCCAACUCUUCCAGAAGAGAGACUAGACACGCAGCUGGGCAUGCGGCCAGAGCCCAAGAAAAGCCUGGUUUGCCAGGGGCAGAUUACAGUCAACGGGAGCAGCCAAUCCUAACCCAGAUCAAAGAUCCUGGGACAGCUGGAACAGGCAUGGCCUAAUGGAACUCCCAAGUGGACAGGGCCAGGCAUGGACGGACAGAGCUUCUGAAACAGUCCUCAGACCCCGUGCAUCUGGAUCUUUCUGUAGGAACCACCCAUCAGCAGUGCCAGACAGAACCAAGCACAUGCACUGAUCCACCGCACGAUGGGAGCUGGUGUGGGUGAGCUUGUUUGCUUUAGCCAUGCCCACAGACAGGAACAGAAGAGCACAGUGGAGGCCACCAGCCCUCUCGCCUGCUAUUUCAAAAGGGGUUGCAGCAGGGCUGGAAAGCGGUUCCCACUGUGGUUGCCCCCUUCCUCUCUGUGGCACACACAGACCUGAAAAUAACCAGAGAGGGACUGUGAGCUGCCAGCCUAAAACAGGAAGGCUGCAGAAAGUCCUAGGCUCAGAUAGGAGAGUUUAAAAGAAUGUUGAAACCAAGAACGGGCAUCACAGAUCCCACCUGUCUCUGCACCAAAGCAGACCUCCCCCUCUCUAAUCUACUGGUGGGGAGCCUGUGUGCUCUGUAGUCAUGCAGAUCCCAGCUUUACCACUUGCUGGCUGUGUGACUUAAGCAAGCUAUUUAACUUCUCUGAACCCCUAUUUCCUGAUUUGUAAGAUAAGCGCAGCAAUAUACAAAGUUUUAGUGUUGUGGUUCACAUGAAAAAAUUUAAUCCUGGCCAGGCCGGACGUGGUGCCUCACACCUGUAAUUCCAGCACUUUGGGAGGCCAAGGUGGGCAGAUCAUGAGGUCAGGAGUUCGAGACCAGCCUGACCAACAUGGUAAAACCACAUCUCUACUAAAAAUACAAAAAUUAGCCGGGCAUGGUGGUGCGUACCGGUAGUCCCAGCUACUCAGGAGGCUGAGGCAGGAGAAUCACUUGAACCCAGGAGGCGGAGGUUGCAGUGAACCGAGAUGGCACCACUGCACUCCAGCCUGGGCAAGAAGAACGAAACUCCCUCUCAAAAAAAAGAAAAGAAAAAGAAAAAAGAAAGAGAAGAAAGCAUACCUGCACAAUUCAGCCUGACCUGCCCUCACCCAGACAACAGAAGGAACAAUGAAGACUUUAGUUGUCUGAGCCAGAACACUUCUCAGAUAACUGUGCUGCUUACAAAUUGCUUUACAUACACAAUCUCCUCUGAAAUUCUCAACCCUGAAUGCUGGGAGACAUUGCCCCCAAUUUUCAGAUGAGUAGACUGAGGCUAACAGAGGUAAAGUGGCUUGUUCAAAACUGCACUACUAGUAACUGGCAGCUCCAGGGUGAGGUCUGGCUCCUGGCCCAGGACUCUCACUGAGCAAGGGCUCGGUCGGCCCACCCAGGACCAAAGACACUGCAGACCAUGGCAGCAGGCACUUGGUGUUCUGUAGUCUGUGAGGGGAGAGCAGAGAGCAGAACCUGGUGUGUGGGACACCCUCUCCUUCACCGGUGUUCCUGCAGGGACCCUCCGUCUCCUGUAAAGGGGGAAGCCCUAGGCUGACUCCCAGCAAGCAAGUCCUCUCUCACCUUUCACCUGAAGCGAUGAAGCAUCUUAAAGUUUGCCUAAAGCAGAAGUCUACAGGAGACCCACAGAAUAAAUAUGUAAGGUUAUUUUGAA